CAGACCAUUUAGGAGAAUUAGAUCAAAACUGAAAACUUGUGCCAUUUAAUUAAGUCUCUGUUAAAGAAAUUAUUUCUUAAUUUUUAAAGAUAGAGUACCAAAGCUCAGCUGUCCUAUUCUGCUAGUACAUUCAAGAGUGGACAUCGCCAUUGUAUGUACACUUCCCUCUUCCAAACAGCUUUAACAACAUCUGUCUAGUUUUCACUGCAAUUAAAGCGACUUUCAUCAGCAAGAGAAAGUAGUCUUUACAGUUAUGAGAUACACUGCAAUACGCAGCUUAGUACAAUACGAGUAGCAGCCCAAAUGGAGCUUAGGUUGAAGAGUAGAUAGAAGCUGGAGAGAGAAUAGAAAAUGACUCUGUGUAUAAUCCCCCAAGAGCAUUGCAAAGUGGUAACACUCCUUGAAUGCUUAAAAGUUAUCACAGAUCAUGAAAUGGAAUGAAGAGAUCAUACACUUAAAGCAAUCAGGCCUCUUGUCUGAUAGCAAAAACUCAAAGGUACUGGAGUAGCAUAACACCAGUGGUUCCUAUUUAGCCAGACUCAAUAUAUACCUGUUUUGAAGCAAGUUCUCUAGUUAAAAACUGUAUGAAAUAGAAAAGUAAUCAGACUCAAGUUCCUGAAGAUGAACUGGUAAGAAAAAGUAAGCUCAGUUUAAUUUGCAUGUGAAUGCCAUUAGAAAUUGCCAGCUAGUGCACAGGUUUGUAAACAGGACCUAGACAGUUUUAAGGAGAGUAGUCUUUCAGACUUAGCAAUGAGAAAGCAAUGAGAUUUUUUCUGCUAUUUAAAAGUGCUGUGAUUUAUUAUGAGUUAGAAAUACAUUUCACUUUAUUUAUAAAACCCUCCGCACAGAAGCUGCUAUCCCUCCGCUCCAAACUACCGUAUUACAAAAGCAGAGAGUGGGCAGGAGCCAUGUAAUUGCAAGUUAAACUAAGUAAAAUACAACAGGGGCAUCCAUGACGAGUCUCCAGGAAUUGUACCAUUUUGAGUUGACCAUGUCAGAUCUCAGCCUAAGUAGGAUAAAGGCUUGCUCAGUCCUCUAUGGAGGCCUCAAAAGAACAGAUGUAAAGCUGAAGCCCUGACCACACAAGGACCAUUGAGAUCCUGUAUCUCUUGUGGUACAAACAGCAGUAUCAGUGUCCUGGACAAAUUCUGGCCUGGGUAAUUAGAUUCUUCCUUCUCAUUUCCCUCCGUAGCUUUGUUUCCCCUCCUCUAGAGCAAUCAAUGCUUUUGCUGCAGAAUGGAAACCACACUGCAUAGGCGACUGUAUUUAGGUGCCCAGGAAGCAAAGCUUGUAAAGGAUACAGCAUUCUUUCAGGGUGACAGACAUUAAAAAAAAUUUAUUAGCUUUGCUGUCAAGGUUUUGAGGUCCCUAAAAGUUCAGUUGCCUAUCCCCUAUAGGUUACUUUUAACACCAGCUGUAAACUGAUUCCUUGUACGAGUCUAGUCUUGGAGGAACAGACAGGACUUGAAAAUUGCCUUAUACUGAAGUUAUCACUAGUUGGUUUUAUAAUAAGCAGGAAGUGGGUAGAUUUGAUCUCAGUACCUUUAAAAGAACUGAGUGAGUAUGAUUACUGGCACUUUUUGGUUCCACCUGCACUACAAGUUCAAUGGUGUUACAAAAGAGACAGGUUCUGUUUUGCAGCUUGAUAUGGUUGUUACCAUCUGAAUCCAAGGCCUUAGCCAAGUGUUAGCCAUGCCUAAGUCCUGGUUACACUGACAAAUAGAACCACACCUUAACUGUAGAGCAGGGUGGGGUGGGAGGUGGAGAAGAGGUGGAGAACGGGACAGCCAGCCACUUGUGACUCACUAGGGUCACUAAAGAUAACUGCACAAGCAAGCACCUUCGACAUGUCUCAGUACCACAGAACAAGAGUGGAAAUCCUUUGUCUUCCCCACAACUUGCUAACACUACAAGCAGGAGCAAGUUGAAGUACCAUUUCUACUAGAAGUAGAACAGGGUUAAGUGUCAGUGUACUCAUCUGACAGGUAGAGCUAACAUGCUUCAGUAUACCCAGUUGCCUUCUUCCCAGCAAAACUUGACAGAUCAGUAUAGCUGACACGCAAGCCAGGCUGGAUAACUGAAUUUCUGCAUUCUGGAGGAAAGACUAGUCACCCCACUUUGCAUAAGCUGCUGUUGCCAUGAUCACAAGACAGGAAGCAUUUUUCAAAAAGUGCAAUGGACUUUGGGAUACCUUCCUCCAGAGACCUGGGAGUUCGGACAGUAGUAACCCAUUUAUAAUGUUAAAGGGCAGAUCUCAGAUACAGAGAACCACAAUGCUGGAACACAAAUGCAGUCCUGCUCAUGAGUUCAGUAAAUUGUUCCUAUAUCAGAAAUUUUUAAAGAAGUGGUCUCAAGGUUUUAUUCUUUAACAAAUUCUGACUACCUCAAUAUACUGGCUAAAAGUUAAUUAUUCAUACCACACAAGUCUAGAGCAUUCAGUUGCAUCUGAAAGAAUGUGUAUUUGCACUUUGUAUAUACCACACAUGGAGAGCUAUGAAUGUGUGGGACAUUAGCUUUUUCCUGCCAUUACACGGAGGGAUUGAGAACAAGGUGCUCGGCAGUCCAACCCUCUAUGUUAAAGCAUUGCAAUAACCUGCCAAAAAGGGAAUCUUAAUACAAGGACAAGUUCUCAGACCAUUUCAACAGACCACUGCUACACUUUUGAAAGGUAAAGCUUCUGAGAAGAUUCUGACUCAGACUCUCAAUUGACAGUCAAGCAUGAAGUAUUCUGCAAUGUUUCACACAAAACCAAUAGCCAAGCACAUUUACAUGCACCAUUACACAUCUAGCAAGGGAUUUUCUCCAUCCAUCUUAUAAUGCAAGGUUCAGCAGGUUCUGUAAGUUUAUUUUAUGAACAGAAUUUUCAGGGUUAGUGUCAGAUGGUUUUCCCAGCACACUAAAGGCAGUGUUUCGGUGUUUAACUUCACUCUUGCCAGAAAGAGUAAAGAGCUGUUCUGAACAUAUAGCUCUAGUAUGCUUCUCUCCAGUUACUGCAGCAGAGUCUACCUAAAACUAUUCAAGCACUACUCUGAUUAUACUAGGAACCAAGGAUAAGAAGCUUGAAGGAAAAAAUAUGUUUGUAAAACGGAAACUAUUUUAUUUUUGUUGAACUUUUAGUUUGUGAUGUCCUACUUGAGAGGUGAAAUCUGAAAACACAGUAUAACAUUUCGUUUGAGAGUAUUCCAGUAGCACAAGGAUUUUAUGUUGCUAAGUAAGCAGACUUAUUUUAGUGGACAUGGUUUAAUCAAAACCUUUAUCAAGUGUCUCACUUAUUAAAAUGCACAAAAUCUGAUUCACAAUCACACUAAUCUCUCCUCUUCCUACUGCUUCAAAAUCAAAGAGGCUAGGACUUUUCAGCCUGGAAAAGAGGAGACUAAGGGGGGAUAUGAUAGAGGUAUAUAAAAUCAUGAGUGGUGUGGAGAAAGUGAAUAAGGAAAAGUUAUUUACUUGUUUCCAUAAUAUAAGAACUAGGGGCCACCAAAUGAAAUUAAUGGGCAGCAAGUUUAACACAAAUAAAAGGAAGUUCUUCUUCACACAGUGAACAGUCAACCUGUGGAACUCCUUGCCUGAGGAAGUUGUGAAGGCUAGGACUAUAACAGGGAUUAAAAGAGAACUGGAUAAAUUCAUGGAGGUUAACUCCAUUAAUGGCUAUUAGCCAGGAUGGGUAAGAAAGGGUGUCCCUAGCCUCUGUUUGUCAGAGGGUGGAGAUGGAUGGUAGGAGAGAGAUCACUUGAUCAUUACCUGUUAGGUUCACUCCCUCUGGGGCACCUGGCAUUGGCCACUGUAAGUAGACAGGAUACUGGGCUGGGUGGACCUUUGGUCUGACCCAGCAUGGCCAUUCUUAUGUUCUUAUAUUGUGGUGGUGAUGGGGAACUCAAUAGGGUAAAUGCAAACUUUGGGAUAGUAUUCUGAGAAUUUCAAAGACAGCAUCUAGCCAUACACAAAAUAGUGGCUACCACAGAAGAGACCCACUUUAUUGGCAGUUCUUGCACCAGCUCUACGAAGACUGAUCUGAUAGCAAAGACAACUGACUGGGUUCACAAUUAUGUUUUCCUAUGCUCCACAGCAAAAAAAGUGUUUCCAUUAAGGUCUAGUUCUAUCUUUCUGGGACCGAGCAUAACCCAAUAAUGCCCAGGUAGGAAUUAAAAGGUUUCCUCCACCACAAACAGUGAUCUUCAAAUGUGAAAAAAGAAUCCACUCCUGGAUGGGUUGUUUGAAUUCAAGCAAACCACUCCAACCCACUGGGUGAAAGACUAACUUCCUUCUAGUGACACAUUUGAGAAAUAGCACAUAAGGCAAGAAGUUUCCUUUCAUAUUUGUGCAGACCCAUGCUGGGUAAAUUUAGUAAUAAAAGAGUGGUUAUUCCCCCAGUUCAGUAUUUUUAAUUCCUUAUUUGACAAAAGCCUCACCUUGCUAAGACUUAAAGGCAUGUAGUGAAAUAAAGGACAAGGGUAAGUGUGCCCUGCUUUUAUUUGCCUAGCCCAGGCAUCAGACUUGCUGCCCUUGGAUGCUAUGUACAUUAGCCAUCUCCCAUCUGCUGUGUGAGAAUAUGAAAAUCCAACUCCAUGGAACUUGAUAGAUCAGUUAUCACCCAGAGUUGUUACAUCAUCAAGAGAAGGGAGAGUGAUCUCUCUUCUAAUGCAAGAGUUUUGUUGAGCACUAUUAACAUUUAGUAAGCGGUGUCAGAGGAGAUACCAGCAGCCUUCUAAGAGUUAUAUGCAUAUGUAACAGCUACACACUGGAAGAAACAAACCAUGCCCUCAGCAUCUUUGCCAAAAUUAACUGGUCUUACAGAAAUAAGGCACUGUACCACUAUACAGUAUUUCCUAAGAGUCUGCUUAAAAGAUCAGUCCUAGAAUUAAAUGGGGUUUCCCUUCCCAAUUACUUAAGCUAUGUUAUAGUAGGUGAUAGUAGCAAGAGGAAAUACACUAGACCUACGUUUAAAGUUUGAAUCAUUCUCAUUUUAGAGUAGCAACCGUGCUAGUCUGUAUCUGCCCCCCCAAAAAAGCACGCAACUGUGGUACCAUAGAGACUCAAAUAAAUUUGUUAGUCUCUAAAGGUGCCACAAGUACUCCUUUUCUUAUUUUAGAUUUACAUACUCUCUUCUCCCCCCCAAAAUGGCUUGCUGCAGUCAAGUUAAACUGCUCUGGAAGUCUUGAUCUGGAUGGCUAUCUGCUGGUCAGUUUUUAAAAAUUAAGCUAAGUUCGAUGGCAACCUUAAUUUAGGCCCCCACAUGAUGUGCCAGGAAUCAGAAUUUCAUAACAGUAAUGAAAGAUGCACCAGCACUACUAGCAGAAGUUUCAGAUGAGGUAGUACUGUGUCUAUAUUUUAAUUUUUCUGGAAGAAAAGAGUAAAUUUUUUACGGCGCACUUGUGCAGUAAGGUCACUCCACACCCUAUACAACCAUUAUGCAGCACUAACCAUGACACAAUGCCUGACUAGUAGCGGAGAAAUGUGAUCUGGAUUUUCAAGGGCACCAGUUGCAUACAUAUCAUGAAAGCCUACCAUUUUCCUCUCUUCUCUCAGUGUAACCAAGUCCAUCUCACAAGAACCACCACCUUUCAUCCAUGAGGGCUGAAAAAGUUCAUUUAAUAUUGCUUCUAGUUGGCCAAGCGGUCACUUGAGCUACAAGGAAUGAGGCAGAGUUCUAUCACAUCAACUUCUCGUUAAGUCCUAAAUGCAUGUUUAGGUUUUUCCAAUAUUUCAAACCAUUUGUACCAUGACACACAACUGUCAUGUACCCAGAAAGUAAUCGGUAUCUUUAGCAGAGUUAAAGUAGUAUUCUCUGGCCCCUUACCAUAAGUAGCCUUCUCCAUACAAGUUAUCUGUAUUUCACAUUCGGGUGCCCUUUGCCACUAGAUGAAACACACACACACACACGAAAACCAGUUUCAUUUACUUAAGAAUUAUGACCGCAGUGCAUUAGAUUAGAGCCAAUCACUUUGUUUGGUUGCCAUUGUUCUCAAAUAAUGAAAGACCACCUCAGCACUACAGGUAAAUUGAUGUGUUCAACCUAAGUGACUAGCACAUCACACUGUGCUAUGUUUCAUCUUGCAUCUUUAUAGUGACCUCUUCACUAGUUUCCAUCUGAGGAGAAUCUUACCAAAUUAGCCAUACUUGUCCGAUGUAGAACACACUGCACUAAUGCAAUGUGGAAGUGACUGACUACACAGGAAACCACCUAUAAGCUACAGCUGGUGCAGAAUACAUCGACUCCUCAGCUUAGCAAAGUUAAUUAUAUGGACUAUAUUAAAUCAAUGCUCCAAAGAUGGCAUUGGUAUCCUGCAGCAUUUGCAGUUCAAGGGGUUGCUAAUGAUUUGGAAGUGCUAAAAUAGAUUGGGGAAAGAUUGUCUUGAUGUCUAGGACCCCAUAUAUCACCAUCAUUCAAAUCAACCCCCAGGUUAUCUUGUUCUUUCCCUGAUAUUGAAUGCCAUACAGGUCUAGGUUUCAGUGAAGGGAUCUCUACUGUGUAAAUCUCCCCCAACAAGGCCUGAGUUGGUACACUUUAUUGACAUGCUGCAAAAUUUGUUUGGCGAUCAAGAAUUUACCUGAGGGUCUGAUAGCGGCAAAGAGUAUUUUGGUUCAUUAGUGAGUGUGGGAUUCAGUUUUAUUACGAAGUUAUUUGAAACUAGCUUUUAUUACAAGUUAUUUUACAUGUGUACCCAGAAACAAGGCAAUAAGCAUAUUUAAAAUAUAUUAAAAUAGUUAUGAGGAUGCCUGUAUGUGUAUUCUAGAGCAGUCUCAAACUUUUUU